ACAUAUUACAAAAAUCAGAAAACGAAAAGUCGUAAAAUCAAUUUGGAAGUAGUAUUUGUAUUCGCGUAUGUUCCAGAUACAUGUACCAUAUAUCAAAUUAAAGGUCUCGAUUUUUCCGUUGCUAAAAUUGCGGAACGAUCGGCCACACGCUUUAGCGUGCGUGACUAAAAGACGUCAAAUAGAAAUACCUCCCUAUAUUUAAGUAUUUGCACAAAAAUUUCGAGUUCUCACAUAGGUGGUGCAUUUGUCUAUAUAUGUGCAAAAAACAAAAAAUAUUCAUCGAGGUUCUUUCUACAUGACUAAAAGCACGGGGAUGUUUUGAGUGAAAGAGUUAAGUGAUACUUGCGUAACGAGGCUUCAAGAACUUCUAGUAAUGAUUGUUAUUAAUCGAUUGUAUACAUACGUAUAUUAAGUUACCUUUUAAGUUUACACUGACUAAUAUUUAUGCAUUUGCUAUUUUAUCAUAGGUGACGAUAACAAAAUUUAACAAAGUAAAAAGUGAUUGUAUUUGCAAAAAUAAAUAACAUGCAAUAUUUUUCUUGAAAUAUUGCCGAAUGUUAUAAUUACCUAAUUUUAAAAUUUAUAAAAAAUUAAAUGAAUCGUAGAACGAAAAUCAUCAGAUGCAAAUUACUAACGUCACAAUUGUAGACAACAAGGCUGGCAAGUAUUGAAAUUAUGAUUUAACGUCUACUUUUAGAUAACUAGCUUAUCAAGAUAAUUCACCAAACAAGGAAAAAUUAUUCAGUUGCCACAUAAACAUCCUUAAAUACGUUGUAUGGAAUAAUGUAAUAAAUUACAUUAUUAUAAAACACUCACAAUUAUUUAAAAAUAUUUUAUAAUUACAUUCAAGUAUGGUAUGUUUAGCAACAAGUGAUUAAAACGAUUGAAAGAUUACUUUUCUUAAUGUAAAGAAGAUUCGGGUUAACUGACCUUCUGCUUCACGAUUUAGCGGAGUAAGAGGCUUCCAUUUUACGCAUUCAUUUGACACAAAUUAGUUCAAGUAUAUAACAAAUAAUGGCCGAUAUCUUAUCAGCAAGAACAUGGCAGAGUAAUAACGACAGAUUUUCGAUAAUGCUGAUAAAAAACAUAAAAUAAAAACAAAGCUAUGCUGCCCGUACUUAUUCAAUAAUUUGUCGUUUGCCAUGUUGGAUCUAUUGCAAAAGAUUACUCCUCCAAUGAGACAAUCCAUUCAUCAUAAACAAAAUAAUAAUACUGAAAAUUGAUAAUUUAUUUUUAUAAAAAAAAUUACCCUAACUGUCUGUUUUAUUACAUAGAAAAUACUUAGCAAAUAAUAUUUAAAUUUAACAUUAAUAUAUAGGUACUUUAAAUUAUAUGAAGUUCAAAUUUAAAACGUAUUCCUGGAAACUAUUGAGUUUAGAAUAGUGACUUCACACAUGUGGCUAAUUUUGUACAGAAGUAAAUUUUCUUGAAAGUUACCUUUUGAUACCCAAAGACGAUAUCCAAUUAUCACGUAUUUUAGUUUUUAAAAUUAACUGCUGGUACAUGUGCUGAUAACUGAAUUAUAAGCUUACUUUUGAGGAUAAAUAAGUUUUGGCAUAAUUUAUGUAUAGGGGUAUAAUGUAUAAAAAAUAAAUGUCUAUUCUAAUUUGA